rnacentral:antisense_RNA from 1 species
AGAGACGUGGGAGCCGAUGAAGGUCGCACGCCAGCCUCCCACCUGUGAGACAAAGGGCCCUGUCACUGGAAGCCACGUCCAGCCUGGCCCCGCAGGAGCCAGGGCUGUGCGCCUAACGGAGGACUGAUGGGAAAGGGAAGGCUGGCAGCAGUGAGGGGCCAUCAUCUGAAUCACGUUCCUGUAUUCGGGAUUUGAGCCUCCAAAACAGUUUUGAUGGGAGACACCAGCCACCUACUAUUAUGCAGCCAUGCACCACAUAACGACGUUUCAGGCAACAAUGACUGCACAUACCACAGUGGUCCCGUAAAAUUACAAUGGAGCUGAAAAAUUCCUAUUUUCUAGUGACAUCACAGCCAUUGCAAGGUCAGAGUGCAACACAUCACUCAUGUGUUUGUGUUGAUGCUGCUGUAAACAAACCUACCGCACUACCAGUCAUAUAAAAGUAUAGCCCAUACAAUUAUAUGUAGUACUUAAUACUUAAUAAUAAUAAACAACUAUGUUGCUGGUUUACG